rnacentral:rRNA from 1 species
AUUGAACGCUGGCGGCAGGCCUAACACAUGCAAGUCGAGCGGAUGAAGGGAGCUUGCUCCUGGAUUCAGAGGCGGACGGGUGAGUAAUGCAUAGGAAUCUGCCUGGUAGUGGGGGAUAACGUCCGGAAACGGGCGCUAAUACCGCAUAAGUCCUGAGGGAGAAAGAGGGGGAUCUUCGGACCUCAUGCUAUCAGAUGAGCCUAGGCCGGAUUAGCUAGUUGGUGGGGUAAAGGCCUACCAAGGCGACGAUCCGUAACUGGUCUGAGAGGAUGAUCAGUCACACUGGAACUGAGACACGGUCCAGACUCCUACGGGAGGCAGCAGUGGGGAAUAUUGGACAAUGGGCGAAAGCCUGAUCCAGCCAUGCCGCGUGUGUGAAGAAGGUCUUCGGAUUGUAAAGCACUUUAAGUUGGGAGGAAGGGCAGUAAGUUAAUACCUUGCUGUUUUGACGUUACCAACAGAAUAAGCACCGGCUAACUUCGUG